rnacentral:rRNA from 1 species
AACGAACGCUGGCGGCGUGUUUAAGACAUGCAAGUCACACGGCGUCAUUGAUGUAGCAAUACCUUGAUGGCACAGUGGCGCACGGGUGAGUAACACGUGAAUGACAUGCCCUUCAGAGGGGGAUAGCCCAGGGAAACUUGGAUUAAUACCCCAUGGUCUCGCGAGAGUAAAGGCGGCGCAAGCUGUCUCUGGAGGAUUGGUUCGCGUUCUAUCAGCUUGUUGGCGGGGUAACGGCCCACCAAGGCUACGACGGAUACCUGGUCUGAGAGGACGAUCAGGCAGACUGGAACGGAGACACGGUCCAGACACCUACGGGUGGCAGCAGUCGAGAAUAAUUCACAAUGGGGGCAACCCUGAUGGUGCAACGCCGCGUGGAGGAUGAAGGUCUUCGGAUUGUAAACUCCUGGCAUCCGGGAGUAAGACCUGGCCGUGAAUAGCGGACAGGGUUGAUAGUACCGGAAGAGGAAGGGACGGCUAACUUCGUGCCAGCAGCCGCAGUAAAAC